GUUACAGUAACUGUGUCAGGAGCUGACAGCUCUUCAUCUCCUGUGUGGUUGAUUGUUGGACUGGUUUGUGGAGUCUCUCUCAUUAUUAUUCUCCUGCUCUUGUUGUAUCGCUGCAGACAGUCCAAGUAUUCCUGCUUCACCAGGUCGAUCCAGUCUGAGAGUCACAGUCCGGGCUCCUCCACGAAUCAUGGAGUCAACCAGAAUGAAACUCAUGACUACAACUCUCUUCAUCCUGGU